UACGUAGGGGGCAAGCGUUGUCCGGAUUUAUUGGGCGUAAAGAGCGUGUAGGCGGCCAGACAGGUCCGUUGUGAAAACUCGAGGCUCAACCUCGAGACGUCGAUGGAAACCGUCUGGCUAGAGUCCGGAAGAGGAGAGUGGAAUUCCUGGUGUAGCGGUGAAAUGCGCAGAUAUCAGGAAGAACACCCGUGGCGAAGGCGGCUCUCUGGAACGGUACUGACGCUGAGACGCGAAAGCGUGGGGAGCGAACAGG
rnacentral:rRNA from 1 species